rnacentral:rRNA from 1 species
GGCGAAGGGUGAGUAACGCGUGGAUAUCUACCCACAGGCCCGGGAUAGCGUUGGGAAACCGGCGGUAAUACCGGAUAAUAUCUCCGGAUCAAAGGUGUGAUUCCGCCUGAGGAUGGGUCCGCGUCCUAUUAGCUUGUUGGUGGGGUUUAAAAGCCUACCAAGGCAAAGAUGGGUACCGGGUGUGAGAGCAUGGCCCGGCACACUGGGACUGAGACACUGCCCAGACACCUACGGGUGGCUGCAGUCGAGAAUCUUCCGCAAUGGGCGAAAGCCUGACGGAGCGACGCCGCGUGCGGGAUGAAGGCCUUCGGGUUGUAAACCGCUGUCAGUGGGGAGCAAAUCGUUGGGGGCUAUCCUCCUUCGUUGACCUAUCCUCGGAGUAAGUCCGGGCUAAGUUCGUGCCAGCAGCCGCGGUAAGACGAACCGGACAAACGUUAUUCGGAAUUACUGGGCUUAAAGGGUGCGUAGGCGGCACGAUAGGUGGGAUGUGAAAUCCCCCGGCUUAACCGGGGAACUGCGUUCCAAACCAUCGCGCUUGAGAGAGACAGAGGUGAGCGGAACUUGCAGUGGAGCGGUGAAAUGCGUUGAUAUUGCAAGGAACACCAGUGGCGAAGGCGGCUCACUGGGUCUCUUCUGACGCUGAGGCACGAAAGCUAGGGGAGCGAACGGGAUUAGAUACCCCGGUAGUCCUAGCUGUAAACGAUGAGCACUAGAUCGUGGGGACCUCCACAUCCUCUCGGUCGUAGCGAAAGUGUUAAGUGCUCCGCCUGGGGAGUAUGGUCGCAAGGCUGAAACCAAAGGAAUUGACGGGCGCUCACACAAGCGGUGGAGGAUGUGGCUUAAUUCGAGGCUACGCGAAGAACCUUACCUAGACUUGACAUGUUGUAGAACUUCUGGGAAACCAGGGGGUGCCUUUCGGGGAGCUACAGCGCAGGUGCUGCAUCGUGUUCGUCAGCUCGUGUCGUGAGUUGUCGGGUUAAGUCCCUUAACGAGCGAAACCCUUGUCCCUAGUUGCCAGCGAGUAAUGUCGGGGACUCUAGAGAGACUGCCGGUGUUAAACCGGAGGAAGGUGGGGAUGACGUCAAGUCCUCAUGGCCUUUAUGAUCAGGGCUGCACACGUCCUACAAUGCGGCAUACAAAGGGACGCGAACUCGUGAGAGCAAGCAAAUCCCAAAAAGUGUCGCUCAGUUCGGAUUGCAGGCUGCAACUCGCCUGCAUGAAGCUGGAAUCGCUAGUAAUCGC